GAUGAAGAACGUAGCGAAAUGCGAUAAGUAAUGUGAAUUGCAGAAUUCAGUGAAUCAUCGAACCUUUGAACGCACAUUGCGCCCGCCAGUAUUCUGGCGGGCAUGCCUGUUCGAGCGUCAUUACAACCCUCAGGCCCCCGGGCCUGGCGUUGGGGAUCGGCGGAAGCCCCCUGCGGGCACAACGCCGUCCCCCAAAUACAGUGGCGGUCCCGCCGCAGCUUCCAUUGCGUAGUAGCUAACACCUCGCAACUGGAGAGCGGCGCGGCCACGCCGUAAAACACCCAACUUCUGAAUGUUGACCUCGAAUCAGGUAGGAAUACCCGCUGAACUUAAGCAUAUCAAUAAGCGGAGGA
rnacentral:misc_RNA from 1 species